rnacentral:rRNA from 1 species
GGGGAAUAUUGGACAAUGGGCGCAAGCCUGAUCCAGCAAUGCCGCGUGAGUGAUGAAGGCCUUAGGGUUGUAAAGCUCUUUCGCACGCGACGAUAAUGACGGUAGCGUGAGAAGAAGCCCCGGCUAACUUCGUGCCAGCAGCCGCGGUAAUACGAAGGGGGCUAGCGUUGUUCGGAAUUACUGGGCGUAAAGGGCGCGUAGGCGGCUUUUCAAGUCAGGCGUGAAAUCCCCGGGCUUAACCUGGGAACUGCGCUUGAGACUGGAAGGCUUGAGUUCGGGAGAGGUGAGUGGAAUUCCCAGUGUAGAGGUGAAAUUCGUAGAUAUUGGGAAGAACACCAGCGGCGAAGGCGGCUCACUGGACCGAUACUGACGCUGAGGCGCGAAAGCGUGGGGAGCAAAC